AACAUGUUUUCUGCCAGAUGACCGUGCUGACCUGCCUCCCUGGAGACAAACCUGUUUCCUCGCUCCAGGCAAGGCACAGGAGCAGGGAGGAGCAGCAGGAGGAGGGAGGCAGCAGCGUGGGACCGCCUGACCUUCAGUGGAGGCUGCUGGGCGCACGGGAGACGUGUCCAAGGCAGCAAGCAGGAGAGAAAAGUGAGCUGGGACUGCAGCUCUGAGCCUCGUGUCAAGACAUCACAGGCAGCCUGUGAGCUCACCCUGCCCUGCAGCCUCCGAGGCUGGUACUUCUGCUCCUGUCUUGUUUCAGAUGUACCCUGGCAGGGCCUGUGGGGACAGAGGGACCCCAGUGACAGCUGUCCUGUGCCAGGCAAUACAGGAAGGAAGAUAGAAAAAUAUGAGGACAACCCAAACCAGCAGGUACACUUGUCUAGACCAAUUUUUUUGCUUUGUU
rnacentral:lncRNA from 1 species